CCAGCACCCCGAGUGGUCGGGACGAUUAUUGGGCCUAAAGCAUCCGUAGCCGGUUCUACAAGUCUUCCGUUAAAUCCACCUGCUUAACAGAUGGGCUGCGGAGGAUACUAUGGAGCUAGGAGGCGGGAGAGGCAAGCGGUACUUAGUGGGUAGGGGUAAAAUCCGUUGAUCCAUUGAAGACCACCAGUGGCGAAGGCGGCUUGCCAGAACGCACUCGACGGUGAGGGAUGAAAGCUGGGGGAGCAAACCGGAUUAGAUACCCGGGUAGUCCCAGCUGUAAACGAUGCAGACUCGGUGAUGAAUAGGCUUCGUGCCUAUUCAGUGCCGCAGGGAGGCCGUUAAGUCUGCCGCCUGGGGAGUACGGUCGCAAGACUG
rnacentral:rRNA from 1 species